rnacentral:sRNA from 1 species
GUGCCCAGAGAGUGGUGUGUCUGCAGUGCCCAUCUGUGUAUUUGGCCCCAAACCCACCCCUUUUGGGUCUUUGUCCCUCUUGUCACAACCUGAGUCUUGGGACCCAAGAGCAGGGAGUCAGGUGCACGCUGACCCUGCGGAACACUGUGUUGUGGUGAGGGGGCUGUCUGCUUGUUGGGUCUCUGAGCAGUCCUCUCCCUGCAGAUGUGGAUGUCAUUGCCAAGUUUGCCCAGCUUGAGUUUCAGCUGGGGGAUGCAGAGCGGGCCAAAGCCAUUUUUGAGAACACGCUGAGCACCUACCCAAAGCGCACAGAUGUCUGGUCGGUCUAUAUCGACAUGACCAUCAAGCACGGCAGCCAGAAGGACGUCCGGGACAUCUUUGAGCGGGUCAUUCAUCUGAGCUUGGCCCCCAAGAGAAUGAAGUUCUUCUUCAAGCGCUACCUGGACUACGAGAAGCAGCAUGGCACUGAGAAGGAUGUGCAGGCAGUCAAGGCCAAGGCCCUGGAGUAUGUGGAGGCCAAGAGCUCAGUGCUAGAGGACUAGUGGCAGGCUGGCUCUGUGGGACACUGUCAACAAUGGGCCAGCCCGGCCCCGCCUCGAGUGCCUGGGCACUCGGAAAACUGUUACCUCAGGACUCUAUUUAAAUGCUGCUUUUUCUGCAGCACCCUUGGGGGAAUCCUGUCAGGAUGAAAAGGAAGUUGAGAUUUUUUAAAUCCCU